UUCCAUGAUGAGGACAAUCUAAGAUGUAUCCUUGUAAACGCUCCCAUGCUUGUGAAAUGGUUUCUGCUUUCUACUGUUGAAAACUUGUAAUCUUUCCUCUUAAGGCA
rfam:Sorghum bicolor cultivar BTx623 chromosome 8, whole genome shotgun sequence.